UUAAUUUUCAACCAAACAAAAAUCAAACCUCAUGAACACAUCACUGUCUUAUCUACAACAAUACGAGCGCUUCCUGAGUCAUUAAUCAGUAGGAAAUCCAAUCACUUUUGCAGAUCAACGGUAAAAGGGUGGAAUCAUUUUCUUAUGCCUCGCAACUUUACGGCGAACACUUGGACUGGCUGCAGAGGAGCUUUCCGUUUCAACAACGCAACUGCUUCUUUAAGUUGACUUAGCUAACAUCACAUACCCCAAAACAUUAGAUAAUAGCUUUAACUUCUCUAUCGUUUCACAUAUUAACUUUGAAAGCAAAGAAGAAAGUGAAAGCAAGAAAAAUAGUGGACGUUUUGAAAGCUUUGGUUUGAAGAUGAAAGUGAACGUGACGUUAGCUAGCUAGUCCAACUACAACUGCUAGCUAGUUAGUUGUUCCCAGUAGAAGACGGUUUGAGCCGUUCUGGUGGUAUCAUGGUCAAGUGUAAUAAUUAGACUUUUUCUUUUUGGACACAUCUUACAGAAACAACGUUUUAAUGAUGAACCCAGCAGGCAACCACGUAUCGCUGAGCCACAUUAAGAGGUGGGGAGUAACCAUCAGCAUAUGAUGUGUCCUCAAAGAGCACUGAGUAGUCGUCCUGUG